rnacentral:rRNA from 1 species
GACAGAGGAUGCAAGCGUUAUCUGGAAUGAUUGGGCGUAAAGCGUCUGUAGGUGGCUUUUCAAGUCCGCCGUCAAAUCCCAGGGCUCAACCCUGGACAGGCGGUGGAAACUACCAAGCUGGAGUACGGUAGGGGCGGAGGGAAUUUCCGAUGGAGCAAUGAAAUCCAUUGAGAUCGGAAAGAACACCAAUAGCGAAAGCACACUGCUGGGCCGACACUGACACUGAGAGACGAAAGCUAGGGGAGCAAAUGGG